GCAAGUAAAUUAUCAGCGGCUCGUGUAAAGUGUGUGGUAUGAUUGCCUGUCACAGUCAGCCUCUGGUUACAACUGAUGCAGCAGGAUGGUCCUUCCAGAAUACUGGCUGCCAGUUUCCCUUACCUUAAGGAGUAAGAUGACAGUGAAUCCACAAAGAAGGCGAGUGAACUUUGGUCACCAACGAAAGCAACAAAUCAAGCCCUGAACUGGACUGUCUGCCGAUUUCCAUGGUGUAAAUACCUCCAUCACUGCUGAUCUCCAGCCCGAGGCGACUCGUGGAAGCGGAGUGGGGAAGAGACGUGACGGCUCGUGCUGUACAACGUUCCCACCACACAGACACACAGCGGUAAACCUCGGGAGCACA